rnacentral:rRNA from 1 species
UGCCCUAGUAACGGCGAGUGAAGCGGCAACAGCUCAAAUUUGAAAUCUGGCCUUCGGGUCCGAGUUGUAAUUUGUAGAGGAUGCUUUUGGUGCGGUGCCUUCCGAGUUCCCUGGAACGGGACGCCAUAGAGGGUGAGAGCCCCGUCUGGUUGGAUACCAAUCCUCUGUAAAGCUCCUUCGACGAGUCGAGUAGUUUGGGAAUGCUGCUCUAAAUGGGAGGUAUAUGUCUUCUAAAGCUAAAUACCGGCCAGAGACCGAUAGCGCACAAGUAGAGUGAUCGAAAGAUGAAAAGCACUUUGAAAAGAGGGUUAAACAGUACGUGAAAUUGUUGAAAGGGAAGCGCUUGUGACCAGACUUGGGCAUGGUUAAUCAUCCAGCGUUCUCGCUGGUGCACUUGGCCUGCCCAGGCCAGCAUCAGUUCGGUGCGGGGGAUAAAGGCUUCGGGAAUGUGGCUCCUCCGGGAGUGUUAUAGCCCGUUGUGCAAUACCCUGCGCUGGACUGAGGUUCGCGCAUCUGCAUGGAUGCUGGCGUAAUGGUCAUCAGCGACCCGUCUUGAAACACGGACCAAGGAGUCGUCCUCGUAUGCGAGUGUUCGGGUGUUAAACCCCCUACGCGUAAUGAAAGUGAACGCAGGUGAGAGCUUCGGCGCAUCAUCGACCGAUCCUGAUGUUCUCGGAUGGAUUUGAGUAAGAGCAUACGGGGCCGGACCCGAAAGAAGGUGAACUAUGCCUGUAUAGGGUGAAGCCAGAGGGAAACUCUGGUGGAGGCUCGCAGCGGGUUCUGACGUGCAAAUCGAUCGUCAAA